rnacentral:tRNA from 1 species
GGAGAGGUGACCGAGUGGCCGAAGGUGCUCGCCUGCUAAGCGAGUGUACCCCGAGAGGGGUACCGUGGGUUCGAAUCCCACCCUCUCCGCCA